AUUGAACGCUGGCGGCAGGCUUAACACAUGCAAGUCGAGCGGGGUGAUGGUGCUUGCACUAUCACUUAGCGGCGGACGAGUGAGUAAUGCUUAGGAAUCUGCCUAUUAGUGGGGGACAACAUCUCGAAAGGGAUGCUAAUACCGCAUACGUCCUACGGGAGAAAGCAGGGGAUCACUUGUGACCUUGCGCUAAUAGAUGAGCCUAAGUCGGAUUAGCUAGUUGGUGGGGUAAAGGCCUACCAAGGCGACGAUCUGUAGCGGGUCUGAGAGGAUGAUCCGCCACACUGGGACUGCGACACGGCCCAGACUCCUACGGGAGGCAGCAGUGGGGAAUAUUGGACAAUGGGGGGAACCCUGAUCCAGCCAUGCCGCGUGUGUGAAGAAGGCCUUAUGGUUGUAAAGCACUUUAAGCGAGGAGGAGGCUCUUUUGGUUAAUACCCAAGAUGAGUGGACGUUACUCGCAGAAUAAGCACCGGCUAACUCUGUGCCAGCCGCCGCGGUAA
rnacentral:rRNA from 1 species